rnacentral:lncRNA from 1 species
CUGCUGCUCUCUUCCGUCUGGAUGCUUUCCUCCCUUUUCUCUUCCUGCUUCAAUAUUAGGUUCAGGCAUCUUCUACUCUGGGAAGACUUCGUGGUUUCCUUAUUUCACCAGACUAUGUGGACCAAAUGGAUCAGGACAUCCAAUGAGACUGAAAUGAGAUAUGCUCUGCUGGGUUGCCUUGGCUGUGUAGUCUCUGCCUCCUUCCCUACCAUGAAAUCAUGCUUCCUGGGUGAAGGAGAGGUACCAUUCAAAGAUAACAUAUAUUUUAUUAGCAUUCAGAUCCUUAUCAGAAAGGUCCUUGAUUUAGAGCUGAUGACCAAGGACCUAGUGAAUAGGCUGACGAAGCAUUGGAAUGAGUCUGAUAGAACUUGGACAGCAUCCACAGUGUACCAAGAUGGAUUCUGUUUGUUCAGAAAUGGAUUUUGUUCUGCCAAGUGGAAGAACAUGAAAAAUAGUCUAGGCCAAACACCACCAGAAAUUUUGUGUUUCCAGUGUAAUGUUAAGUAGUUGAACAAUGACGCGUUGUUCCUGUUUACAGAGGAACUUUAUUGGCUGGCAGACCUGGUUGAAGGUGUGGCAGGUGCUGGUGAGGGAGAAGAUGGAAGAGCCAAAUUCCAUUUAACACACAAAAGAGAUGAACAAGGGGUGUGUGUGUGUGUGUGUGCAUGCGCACAUGCGUGUGCUCACACUGUAUAUGCUAAUUAGAUGAAUUGCAUUGAUCAUUUCACAAUGAAACAUAUAUCAAAACAUCACAUUGUUCAUCCUGAUACAUAUAAUUUUAUUCUGUAAACUGUACUUCCAUAAAGCUGGAAAACAAAUUUAAAAAGAU